rnacentral:rRNA from 1 species
GACGAACGCUGGCGGCGUGCUUAACACAUGCAAGUCGAACGCUGAAGCUCAGCUUUUGUUGGGUGGAUGAGUGGCGAACGGGUGAGUAACACGUGAGUAACCUGCCUCCUUCUUUGGGAUAACGCCCGGAAACGGGUGCUAAUACUGGAUAUUCACUGGUCUUCGCAUGGGGGUUGGUGGAAAGGGUUUUUCUGGUGGGGGAUGGGCUCGCGGCCUAUCAGCUUGUUGGUGGGGUGAUGGCCUACCAAGGCUUUGACGGGUAGCCGGCCUGAGAGGGUGACCGGUCACAUUGGGACGGAGAUGCGGCCCAGACUCCUACGGGAGGCAGCAGUGGGGAAUAUUGCACAAUGGGCGAAAGCCUGAUGCAGCGACGCCGCGUGAGGGAUGGAGGCCUUCGGGUUGUGAACCUCUUUCGCUAAUGGUCAAGCCGCAACAAUGGUUGUGGUGAGGGUAGUGGGUAAAGAAGCGCCGGCUAACUACGUG